AACUAAGUUUGUUAUUGGUAUGAGCUUUCGUGUGCAUGAACACUUCUUCAGAUACACUGAAACAGAAGUCACCAGACCCUUAUAUAUAGUGAGAGAGUCUGGUGACUUCUGUCUCAGUGUAUCUGAAGAAGUGCAUGCACAUGAAAGCUCAUACCUGUAUCAAUAACAAACU